rnacentral:misc_RNA from 1 species
AGUGUAGCGACACGAGAGAAAAGGGAAGACAGGGCAACGUUUCGACAAUUUUUUACAGAACACAGUUUUAACAGAGGGAUUCUUCUUUAGAACUUUCGGUUAAGAGGAACAGAAGAGCCCAUAGGUCCUGCUGGUGACCAUCUAAAGCUAUGUCCGUUGUGUGGAUCUUUGGAAGCUGGGCGAGCUGGAACAAGCUCCGGGGUAACGAUGACGACGACUGGGUGGACCGAGUCAACCACAUCUACACCGUGGUGCUCCUGUGUAUCUUUGCAGUAUUUACCGGGGGCGGACAGUACGUAGGGAAUCCCAUCGAGUGCUGGUGUCCGGCGCAGUUUACGGGGUCGUAUGUAUCGUAUACAAAAUCCUACUGCUGGAUUAAAAACACGUACUAUGUCCCUCUGGAGGAAGCCAUUCCCCUGGACCACGACACUCGCCGCCAGGAGGAGCUGACCUACUACCAGUGGGUGCCCAUCAUCCUGGUCUUCAUGGCAUUCCUCUUCAAGGUCCCUUGUCUCGUCUGGAGAAUGCUGGAACCCAAACUGCUGAGCCCAAAAAGAGAGACGAGACGGUGAAGCACAUCGCCGUCUACAUAGACCGCUGGCUGGAGACCCACCGUCAGUACAACUAUAACUUCAUGGUCCGUAUGAAGCAGAAGGCGUCCAAAGUCUGCUUGAUCAUGUGUAACAAGCGCGAGGGCACAUACCUGACCGGCCUGUACAUGUUCGUUAAGAUCCUAUACUGUGUCAACAUCAUCUGCCAGUUCUUCAUCCUCAACGCUUUCAUGGGACACGGAUUUUACUCCGCCUAUGGUCUUGAAGUUCUGGAUGGCCUGGCCAACAACUGGGAGAUCAAAGAGAGCUACCGAUUCCCGCGCGUCACACUCUGUGAUUUCGACAUCCGUCAGCUACAGAACCUGCAGCGAUGGACCGUGCAAUGCGUCCUUCCCAUCAACCUCUUCAACGAGAAAAUCUUCAUCUUCCUUUGGUUCUGGUUCGUGGUGGUUGCCGUGGUUACCCUCGGUAACUUCCUGUUCUGGAUCUGGCGCGUCAUCAUCAAACACAACCGCGUGGCGUACAUCAAGAAGUUCCUUAAGGUGCGCGACCAGCUGCUGGGAGAGGAUGACAAGAAGGUGUGCCGGCAGUUCGCCGACCAGUAUCUACGAGACGACGGCCUCUUCGUACUCAGAAUCGUAGCUAGGAAUACUAACGCCAUCUUGCUAACCGAUCUGGUUCUGAACUUGUGGGGUAUAUACAAAGAGAAACCCUUUGUGAAAAAAGCCUUAAGUGACGAUUACGGCGAAACGCACGCUUAAGACAGACUUGACUUGUUAAAUGAAGCUAAAGCUAUGUUCAAAUGUGAAGAGUGUAUGAACAUUCCAAGUUGUGAUAGUUGACACAAGUAUGUAGUUAUCCGCCAUCUGUGUUGGUUUUGACCAGGUGCUUCGUUUCGGUCGUCAACUUGCUUCUAAUGGUCAGUAUUGGACACUUCCGACCUGUCUGGCUCCCGCCAUGGUGCUAAUCGUAGGAUGUCAGGGAACAGAAGAGACCAAUCCUAGUCAUACCAUUUGGGCAUUGGCAUUUCCAACUAUGCAUUAGAUAAAUGAUCAUAUAUUUAUAAUUUUUCGAGUUUUUGGCCGCAUUUUUCAAAUACUGAUGUCCAUCGAAUCUCAAACAUUCCUAAAAAUCAAGCGUCUUCCAGCCGGCAUCAACUACAGCAACCGAUCAUUCUAUUCCAUGACGUCACAAUAUACUACGUAUACAUUAUAAAGUUUGUUGUUAUUAUGGAGGCCCUUUUUCGAAAUUUUUUGAACAGCGUUGUUUAUUUUUUAACUUUGUUCAGCUUUUCAAAUUGUAAAUGGCCACCAAAUACAAAUAAUUGCAAGUGAUUUGUUAAUUUUUGUUAUUUCAAGAUUGAUAUUACCCACGAAAUCAAACACAAAUCAACGAAUUUCUAGUAAACAACUGUGAUACAAUUGACCUGCAUUCUCAUGAUAUUAAUUUUUCCAUAGAUAUGUCUAUUUUUAUUAAAUUUUCCAUAUACCACUCUAUUUGACAAUUGUACUCGUGAUCAUUUCGGAAUCGCCUAUUUUUGGGACCAAUGCUUUGUUGUUACAUGUCAUAAGGCCUUGAUUUUUGUUGAUCUCUUGUAUGGUUUUUUUUUCAUUUCAGCAUGUGUUCAUGAUUUUAUAAUCGCCGUGAUGUCAUUUUUUGCAACAAUGAUUAACCAGAGAGACCAAUUAUUCCUCGCUUUUUGUUGAUGUUCGCUAGUUGUGAAAAUGUGGGCAUUUAUUAGAUGUAAACUAUCUUGUUUUUAUUAAAAGGUUGUUUGAACUUGAGUGUUUUAGAAGUCGACGUGCCUUUAUAAUCAGGACUAUAUGCACAACGGGAAUGUACAGUAAUAGUUAUAAACAAUUUAAUGUUCUAAUACAAUUUAUAUUUUUAUGAUAUAUUUUAGUGAUUGCAUUCAUAUUUUAUGUCAAAUAAUUCAAAUCGCAAUAUCUAGUUACUAAGUUGUUUCAGAUUGUAUAGUUCAGAAGUAAAUAAAUAUAAAAGACACAUAC